ensembl:lncRNA
GGGUAUUUAAUUUUUGUAAGUGAGGGCACAGUAUUUUUCAGCCUCCCAGUGAUAAGCAGUACAGUACUUAGGUCCCAGUCAGGCUGAACUUCCAUUGUAAUUUGUCCUCCAGGCAGCAGGUGGCAGUAAAGAGACAUGUCGGACUUCUGCGACGAGGAAAAUUAUGAGAUUUUUCCUCAAGUUCUCCGAGCCUGAUUGUGCAGUUUUUGUUUUAUAUCAGCGAAACCCGAGCCGACGAUGCCGCAAACAAACCUCGGUGUUUCAGGGGGUCUGAAAGGUCGUUCCGAGAGCAGCAGGUGUCCGUUAGGUGGCAGUGUUCCCCGCAGGAUCGGAUUCUCUCCCUGUUUUACCGCCUUUUCUGGCUACUUUGCCAUAAAAACAGUGUUGAAGGUGUUCGCAGAAACGCAGCGGUGGACUCCUCUCAUGCAGACACACAGAAACACACGGCCCGUUACGCAGGUGCGAAGUCCCACCCCGAGAACACGGACCGGUCGAGCGCACUCCCUGCAAGCUUCAACACGCCCUCUGGCGCUUCCGCACGUCUCCGCACUCUCCGUGUGCCAACCUUCACAGGGUUAUAAAUAGACAAGCCUGUUUCUGUGAGUGCGUCUCCAUGGCAACGGCCCGGCCCGCCCCGCCCCACCCUACCUCACCCCACCCUCGGCGACAGAUCGAUAGUUGGGAAUUAUCGAGAUGGACGGACGGAUGGAUGAAGAGCAUCUGUGUCUGGAUGGGCCUGUUUGCCUCCAUGCUGCCUGUAGUGGGGUCGGUGCCAUGAUGUUGCCGUGACGACGAGACCACAACAACUUGUGCCAGUGUUCUGGAGUCAGCAUCCCCUGGUGCUGGGAAGCCAUCACAUACAAAAGGAGAGCCCUCUGCAUAUACACACACCUGUUUGAUGUUGGAGUUUGACCCUUUUAAAGAGACACACACACACACCCCUUCCUUUCUCUUUGCAUGCUGGAUAUAGACAAUUGGAUAAUGACAAAAUCAAAGUGGUUCGGUUCCUUCAUAUUUGCGCUAACAGUUUGUCAGCCAGGGUGGCCGAUUCCGUCGCUCUCUGAAUGGGAGGCCGGACCCUGGACCACCGACAGCUACAAUAACAGCGCACAUAACGUAUGAUUACCGACACAAACAGCACUCACUCGCUCACGCACACACAGAGCUCAAGCUUAGACACCUACACAGGUACCUUCCAGAACAUCGAGCGUCAGAAAUAAGCCCCCGCCGCUGGCACAUAGGCACAGGGACACCUGCCAGCCUCAGACCACCUGAGGCCCUUUGAUACACGCUGGGCUUUAAUCUGCACUCUGAUUCCAUGUGCCUUUGAAGUGGAGGUCUCUGGCACCUCUCCCGACUGCCCCUCCGCCGGGUUCGGACCCUGCGCUUGGCCGUGUUGCCCUGCUUUUAGAGUCCCUGCUUGCCCUCCGCAGCAACCGCCCCCCGCGUCCGCAGGCUGCACGACGCACUCGUGGCACUCGUCCAGGAUGUCACCGCUCUUGUGCUCUUUAGACACCAAUUCGCACCGACUGUUCGGUUCAGCGGUGCUUCUCCGAAAUUAUGCAAAUGCACACCUAUUAAAAUG